rnacentral:rRNA from 1 species
AUUGAACGCUGGCGGCAGGCUUAACACAUGCAAGUCGAGCGGGGGAAGGUAGCUUGCUACCGGACCUAGCGGCGGACGGGUGAGUAAUGAUUAGGAAUCUGCCUAUUAGUGGGGGACAACAUCUCGAAAGGGAUGCUAAUACCGCAUACGUCCUAUGGGAGAAAGCAGGGGAUCUUCGGACCUUGCGCUAAUAGAUGAGCCUAAGUUGGAUUAGCUAGUUGGUGGGGUAAAGGCCUACCAAGGCGACGAACUGUAGCGGGUCUGAGGGGAUGAUCCGCCACACUGGGACUGAGACACGGCCCAGACUCCUACGGGAGGCAGCAGUGGGGAAUAUUGGACAAUGGGGGGAACCCUGAUCCAGCCAUGCCGCGUGUGUGAAGAAGGCCUUAUGGUUGUAAAGCACUUUAAGCGAGGAGGAGGCUACUUUAGUUAAUACCUAGAGAUAGUGGACGUUACUCGCAGAAUAAGCACCGGCUAACUCUGUGCCAGCAGCCGCCGUAA